CCGGGAAACGCCGCCGCGAUCCGCGCCCUCGUCUCUUCUGCCGCCUUCAGGCUCCUCGCCGGCAGCACCAGCCUCGCCCCCCGCAUCGCCAGAACCCGCGCCGUUUCCGCCCCGAUCCCCGACGUCGCCCCUGCGCUCGGGGCCACUGCCGUGACCUCCUCGCCGGUGGAUCUGGACCCAAACCCGCUGGCACCGGCGGAACCAAUCAGGUACUUGACCGUCUCGAGCAUUUGCGUUUCUAUUCAAUUCUUCCCUCCUCCUUCUCCUCCUCCUCCUCCUUCCCCUGUUAUUCUCUGGUUUCCUUCGGUUCCACUUUACAAAAGAUAAAAAGGAAUCGAAGAGGGUUUGAAUAGAGAGGAAAUUAAAGAGAGAGAGAGAGAGAGAGAGAGA